GCUCGCGUACCCCUUCGAACCCCCUCUGUCGUCUUCCUCUUUCCAGCUCACGGAGCACGCAGAUGGCGUGGCCGUGGUCCUCAACCACCGCACCACGCCGCGGCCACCUGCCCCCUCUCCCUUAAAUCCCCCUGGAAACCCUAGCCUUCCCCUCAUCCUCCCUCCGCGCCGCCACCUUCUUUCCCCUCUCUUUUUCUUCCUUCUCUGCAAGCCCGAGGACCACCGCACAGCUCCGCCAUGGCGUCGCCGUUCUACACCGCCCGCCACCGUGUUGAGACCACCUUCGGGACCGCCUCGACGUCCUCUGCCUCCUCCCCAACGGAAUCGAGCGGGGGCAGCCUAAAUCGUCGCCGUUUCCACCGUUUCUUCUCCGACUCCGGCGGACAAGGUCGUCGUUUCCGGCGCCGUUCGUCAACCUCCGGCGUCCCCGACCACACCAACAGCUCCGGGACGUCCGUCGCCGGCGAACCUCCGGCGACCUCGAGCCGGCGGCGCCACCAUCUUUCGGUUCCCCAUGUCGUCGCACCCCUCCUGAACCCUCCCGCGCGUCCUGGAACGCCUCCAGUCGCCCGCGCGCUCGCCUUGCCGCCGCGGUGACCACGUCCUCUGGAACGCGCAAGGCAUCGAGCAUCUUCCGUGCGCCCCGCACGCUUCGCCAGCGUGGCAUCCACCUCGUCACCUGGGCCCCACCCGUCAGCCGCUCAGGCUAGGUUCUGUUCGGUUUUCUGGAAAACCCCCUGCACGUCUAGGAAAGCAACCCGGGCCCCUCUGCCUUGUCAGCUGCGUGCCAGCGCCCCUGGGCCCGCUCGUCAGCCUCUUUGGCUAGCUCUUCCUGGCAUUUGCUUCUUCUCGGGAUAGGAUCACGAAGUGUUGAUGUGAGAUACGAUGAGUUCUCCGACAAGUUCUUCUGCAGCUUUUCACAGGCGAGCCCACCCCUUCACCUAUUUUACUUUUACAUGCUCUUUUGAUCUAUUGCUAUCCUUAUGUUGCGAUUCUGUUGUGUCACGUGUCCUAUCCACCUGUUACCUAUAUGUCCGAGAUACACCUCCUCGCCCUACCUAUUGUUUGUUGUUUGCCAGCUUUGCGAGUCGUAGGCGAGUUUAGGGUCUUGUUGAUAUCUCGAGAUGUUCGGGAUAUCUUGUUGGGAGGUUUUCACAUGCUUUAUCGGUUG